UUUUAGAUUUGCCCCCGCCUUCCCCGUUUCCUCCCCUUGUCACCGCCCAUUUAACAACUGUGUAACCCCCGGGCUAAAGGGCCAUAGGACUUUAACUCAUCCCCCACCUUCCCCCCGUUUAUCCCCGGCAGUCCCCCUAAAAUGCCCCACUAAAUGAGGGGAAAAAAAGAGAAAGGGGGUGCCCCUUUUGGGGAUUUAACCCCAA
rnacentral:rRNA from 1 species